AUGACCACCAUUCAACUCGAAAAAAGUCAAAACCAUUCCAAUAUCUCUGAAGCUGUUAUGUUAAGGUAAAUCAAGCUAUUAAAACUGCAUAGUGCCCCUAA